CCUACGGGAGGCAGCAGUAGGGAAUCUUCCACAAUGGGCGAAAGCCUGAUGGAGCAACGCCGCGUGGGUGAAGAAGGUCUUCGGAUCGUAAAACCCUGUUGUUAGAGAAGAAAGUGCGUGAGAGUAACUGUUCACGUUUCGACGGUAUCUAACCAGAACGCCACGGCUAACUACGUGCCAGCAGCCGCGGUAAUACGUAGGUGGCAAGCGUUAUCCGGAUUUAUUGGGCGUAAAGGGAACGUAGGCGGUUGUUUAAGUCUGAUGUGAAAGCCUUCGGCUUAACCGGAGUAUUGCAUUGGAGACUGGGAGGCUUGAGUGCAGUAGAGGAGAGUGGAACUCGAUGUGUAGCGGUGAAAUGCGUAGAUAUAUGGAAGAACACCGGUUGCGAAGGCGGCUCUCUGGUCUGUAACUGACGCUGAGGUUCGAAAGCGUGGGUAGCAAACAGGAUUAGAUACCCCGGUAGUC
rnacentral:rRNA from 1 species